rnacentral:rRNA from 1 species
UGGGGAAUCUUGCGCAAUGGGCGAAAGCCUGACGCAGCCAUGCCGCGUGAAUGAUGAAGGUCUUAGGAUUGUAAAAUUCUUUCACCGGGGACGAUAAUGACGGUACCCGGAGAAGAAGCCCCGGCUAACUUCGUGCCAGCAGCCGCGGUAAUACGAAGGGGGCUAGCGUUGCUCGGAAUUACUGGGCGUAAAGGGAGCGUAGGCGGACAUUUAAGUCAGGGGUGAAAUCCCGGGGCUCAACCUCGGAAUUGCCUUUGAUACUGGGUGUCUUGAGUGUGAGAGAGGUAUGUGGAACUCCGAGUGUAGAGGUGAAAUUCGUAGAUAUUCGGAAGAACACCAGUGGCGAAGGCGACAUACUGGCUCAUUACUGACGCUGAGGCUCGAAAGCGUGGGGAGCAAACAGGAUUAGAUACCCUGGUAGUCCACGCCGUAAACGAUGAUUGCUAGUUGUCGGGAUGCAUGCAUUUCGGUGACGCAGCUAACGCAUUAAGCAAUCCGCCUGGGGAGUACGGUCGCAAGAUUAAAACUUAAAGGAAUUGAC